rfam:Pelecanus crispus contig51793, whole genome shotgun sequence.
GCCGGGUUAGCUCAGUUGGUUAGAGCAUGGUGCUAAUAACACCAAGUUCACAGGUUCAAUCUCUGCUUACUGCA